rnacentral:sRNA from 1 species
AGGGGUCACGAACUCUGACCCCCCACAAAUACCCAAACACAGAAAGCUCUCUCUGCCGUGAAUCUCGAUUCUCCCCUCCCGUCGGCUUUCUUCAACCUUUCUUCCCGGAGCGCCCCCCAAUCCACGAGUGGCAGCCGCGGGACUGUCGCGUCGGCGCCCGACGCCGGAGUCAGCGGGGCGCAAAAGCGCCGGACAUUUUGGCAGUUAGAUCAUGGCAACCAUAGAAGAAAUUGCACAUCAAAUUAUUGAACAACAGAUGGGAGAGAUUGUUACAGAGCAGCAAACUGGGCAGAAAAUCCAGAUUGUGACAGCACUUGAUCAUAAUACCCAAGGCAAGCAGUUCAUUCUGACAAAUCACGACGGCUCUACUCCAAGCAAAGUCAUUCUGGCCAGGCAAGAUUCCACUCCAGGAAAAGUUUUCCUUACAACUCCAGAUGCAGCAGGUGUCAACCAGUUAUUUUUUACCACUCCUGAUCUGUCUGCACAACACCUGCAGCUCCUAACAGAUAAUUCUUCUCCAGACCAAGGACCAAAUAAGGUUUUUGAUCUUUGCGUAGUAUGUGGAGACAAAGCAUCAGGACGUCAUUAUGGAGCAGUAACUUGUGAAGGCUGCAAAGGAUUUUUUAAAAGAAGCAUCCGAAAAAAUUUAGUAUAUUCAUGUCGAGGAUCAAAGGAUUGUAUUAUUAAUAAGCACCACCGCAACCGCUGUCAAUACUGCAGGUUACAGAGAUGUAUUGCGUUUGGAAUGAAGCAAGACUGUAUGUAUUAGCUUUUAAGGAGAAAAUACUUUUUAAAGAUUCCAGCAAACUACAAGAGUAUUGAAAUUAACAAAAUAUGUCAAAUAUGUAUACUUUUUAGUUUACAGUUUUCCAACUAAAAAUAUAAGAAUACAGACAUACGUAUGUAUUUUUUAUUUAUUCAACUAAUAUUUAUUGAAUACCUGUGUAAAAAGCACGUAUUUGUAGUUUGUGUUUGGCAAAAAGAAUGAGGGAUGCAAAUUGCUUGGUUUUACUAAUCUAAAGCAACUUUGUUGAACUUGCACAUAAUUUCUAAAGAUUGAUGGUUAUCUUUGGAGUUUAGUAUGGUAACCAUGUCUCCUAUUAGCAGCAUUAAGCUUACCUACAGCUUACAUUUAUAAUUGUCUGUAAAUCCUAUAUUGUGAUAUAAUAGUUUAACACAUUUUUGUAGCUGUCCAAUGUGAAAGAAAACCCAUUGAAGUAUCACGAGAAAAAUCUUCCAACUGUGCCGCUUCAACAGAAAAAAUCUAUAUCCGAAAGGACCUUCGUAGCCCAUUAACUGCAACUCCAACUUUUGUAACAGAUAGUGAAAGUACAAGGUCAACAGGACUGUUAGAUUCAGGAAUGUUCGUGAAUAUUCAUCCAUCUGGAGUAAAAACUGAGUCAACUGUGCUGAUGACAUCAGAUAAGGCUGAAUCAUGUCAGGGAGAUUUAAGUACAUUGGCCAGUGUGGUUACAUCAUUAGCGAAUCUUGGAAAAACUAAAGAUCUUUCUCAAAAUAGUAAUGAAAUGUCUAUGAUUGAAAGCUUAAGCAAUGAUGAUACCUCUUUGUGUGAAUUUCAAGAAAUGCAGACCAACGGUGAUGUUUCAAGGGCAUUUGACACUCUUGCAAAAGCAUUGAAUCCUGGAGAGAGCACAGCCUGCCAGAGCUCAGUAGCGGGCAUGGAAGGAAGUGUACACCUAAUCACUGGAGAUUCAAGCAUAAAUUACACCGAAAAAGAGGGGCCACUUCUCAGCGAUUCACAUGUAGCUUUCAGGAAAGAAGAAAAUUAUUGAUGGAGCACAUCUUCAAACUACAGGAGUUUUGUAACAGCAUGGUUAAACUCUGCAUUGAUGGAUAUGAAUAUGCCUACCUGAAGGCAAUAGUACUCUUCAGUCCAGAUCAUCCAGGCCUAGAAAACAUGGAACAGAUAGAGAAAUUUCAGGAAAAGGCUUAUGUGGAAUUCCAAGAUUAUAUAACCAAAACAUAUCCAGAUGACACCUACAGGUUAUCCAGACUACUACUCAGAUUGCCAGCUUUAAGACUGAUGAAUGCUACCAUCACUGAAGAAUUGUUUUUCAAAGGUCUCAUUGGCAACAUACGAAUUGACAGUGUUAUCCCACAUAUUUUGAAAAUGGAGCCUGCAGAUUAUAACUCUCAAAUAAUUGGUCACGGCAUUUGAAAGCUGCGACUGCAGUGCUGUCAACUUAACUGUUCUUUCCCAGAACACAAGACACCAAAUUGAACUCAUUGCUUUUGGGGCAUCUGGAAAUUUUUACUUUAAAAAGUAACCAGAAUCUAAGGUAUUUUUAUUUUAGCUUCUUUAAGAAUUUUUGAAGUGACUGGGCAGGCAGCAGAAAUUAAAUGAAUUUUUCUUCCUGAUUCCUUUAAAUGAAUAUGAAACACUACAAAUUUAUUCUUGGUGAAGAUGAUACCUGAAGCUGUCACCUCUUGAUUAUCUAAACUAAGCGCUCAUUCUAUUUUAUAAAACAAAUAAAUUAGUCUCUUUUUUCUGAA